ACUGGACAUAAGAGGUGGCUUAAAUCUGGUAACUGUUAGGGUGUCAGGUGUGGAUGCGUACAAUAUUUUAAUCUAGUUCUGCACCAUUACUACCUUGGUGUUGGCUAUUGUCGAGACCACCAAAACAACAAAUGGUGCUAAUGCAUGCAAUAAGAGUGCUCGAAGUGGUUCGCUAAGUUGGAUGGAUGCCAAUGAACAACUUGCAAGAACUAAAGUAUUCUCGAAGAGCCUAAAAAAUCAUAACAUGGGCGUAGCUCUAGCUACAAUGAUUCAAAAGAUAAAUGGAUGAGUAUAUGGGAGCGUGGUGAUUAUACUGCAAUGAUAAUGUCGAUGUUCCGUUUCAUGAUGAUGAUGGAUGCUUUUAGUUUUAAUUAUGUUGUAGGGAUGAUGUUCUCUCAGUUAAGAUGCACUA